GACGAACGCUGGCGGCAUGCCUAAUACAUGCAAGUCGAGCGAAUGACGAAGAAGCUUGCUUCUUCUGAUUUAGCGGCGGACGGGUGAGUAACACGUGGGCAACCUGCCCUGUAGAUUGGGAUAACUCCGGGAAACCGGGGCUAAUACCGAAUAAUCCAUUUCCUCUCAUGGGGAAAUGUUAAAAGACGGUCUCGGCUGUCACUACAGGAUGGGCCCGCGGCGCAUUAGCUAGUUGGUGAGGUAACGGCUCACCAAGGCGACGAUGCGUAGCGACCUGAGAGGGUGAUCGGCCACACUGGGACUGAGACACGGCCCAGACUCCUACGGAGGCAGCAGUAGGGAAUCUUCCACAAUGGACGAAAGUACUGAUGGAGCAAUGCCGCGUGAGUGAAGAAGGUUUCGG
rnacentral:rRNA from 1 species